CUUAACAAUGGUGCUGAACUGAAAGAAAAGUCAAGGAGAGAUUACAUAUUUGUAAUUGUGUAUUCCUCUUUAUGUGCAUUCAUUCUGACUGCAUUUGAAAAGAGCUAAAUGAUUUUUUUGCCUUUUCUAAUUUUGUGCCAUCUGUACUUUCCUCGCAUCAUUAGAGUAAAUAAGAGAAUUACUGAUUCCUACCUCAAGCUUGGAAGCUCUUUGCCAGUCAGGAUCCUAUUCCAGUGAAUAGAAAGGAUUGGAGACUUUAGACCUGUCCCAGAGCUAACACCUUUGGCAGAGUAACUACCAGCUGGAAUCUUGCACCUAAAGCUACCCUUGUCUCAAUUUAUACUCUUAGGAUCACCAAAGCAAACCUGAGCCUAAUAUGUAGGAAUCUCGAUUUGAACUAUAUUAAGCUUUGGCAUCCCAUGCAGCUCAUUUUCCAGGAAGUCAGCAUCAUAUAAUCAAAAGAGUUUAAUGGUUUGGAAGAUGGAAGAAAUGAACUUUGUAUUCUCCUACUAGAUCUUCGUAUGACCCUGGAAAAGUUGCAGAUACCUGUGAUAAAGGGAUUCCUCCUCCACAGAUUGAGAGGAUUUGGUGUUUUAAGAUGGACAAAUAAUGGACACAUGGAUUAUUACUCAGUGUGUGGCUGCCCAUGACACUCACGGUGUGGACCUCUAUCCGGUGCUAAUAUCUGAACUGAUUGUUACCACUCAACUAAGUCUAGUUCUCUGGCAUUAGGAAAGUCUCCCCAAUCUGCUCCAUUCAUGAGGCGUUGACCUUCAAGUUAAAUGGAGGCUUACAGAGUCUGGAAUACAGGAACCAGGCUAAAUCAUAUUUAAGUUCUUACAUAAGAAUACCAGAAAGAGAACAAUUAAAAUAGUAACUUGAAUAUCACGCUCAAACUUCUAGGGCUUUUACAUGUCCAAAGCAGUUGGACUUGUAAUUCACUGACAGUUUUUAUUUGUAUAUUCCUAUAUCUUGGAUAUAUGCAACAAUGAUUUCAACUAUGGACUUUGCAGAUAACCAGGUACCAUAA